GUUAUAAUUAGAAAGUAUUCUGAAUGAAUAUGAAAAUGAAAAAUGUACAGCUAUAAGAUAAUACAUGUUUUAGUUAACAUUUUGUUUAUAGCUACAUUUAAGCAGAGACAGUGAAUGUUUUUUUAUGAACGCGAUGACAGGGCCCCCUCACAAAGUUGCUUAGGGUCCCCUGAAGGCCAUGAUUGGCUCUGGCUAUAGAGGAUGAAUAAUAAGUCAACCUUUAAACAUCCUGGGUUAAAAACCAUUACUAUAAAUUGCAGUCAAUUUGGUAUAAUUAACCACCUAUGAAAGCAUCCUUGUCAUGGUCCAGUGUGGUGAACUGUUUGCCGUUGUGACUGGUUAAGGAGUCUCCAGCAUUGCCUUGGUAGAGACCCAGACGCAGACGAUUGUAAAUGUUUUCCAGACCCAGCCAAUAUUCACCAUCUACAUUGCCAAACCCCUUCUGGAGUGAACAAGAACAGAGAAAUCGAUGACUUACUAAGACAAAUAAAAAGAAAAUAAUCAAGGCAGGAGGAAAUACAAGCAUCUAUCAUCAUCUACAUCUCCACCAUAGACACAAUUGGCCACAGUUUGGCACUCUUUCUCAACUGAUGAAAAGACGAAGGAUAGGUAGAACCAAAUCAGAUAUGUGGCCAGAUUUGCCAAUUUACUACAUAUUACAGUCAUUCAUCUCACAAAUGUGAAUAAAGAAUGUGUUUGAAAAAGUAAUUUCUCAAAUUGCA